GCAGCCUUGUAGGGCAGAGCCUGGGAAGCUGUUCCUUUUGGCUGACUUCUUCCUGAUGCAUUGCACUGCACCCAGC
rnacentral:miRNA from 1 species